rnacentral:rRNA from 1 species
GAUGAACGCUAGCUACAGGCUUAACACAUGCAAGUCGAGGGGCAGCAUUUCAGUUUGCUUGCAAACUGGAGAUGGCGACCGGCGCACGGGUGAGUAACACGUAUCCAACCUGCCGAUAACUCGGGGAUAGCCUUUCGAAAGAAAGAUUAAUACCCGAUGGUAUAAUCAGACCGCAUGGUCUUGUUAUUAAAGAAUUUCGGUUAUCGAUGGGGAUGCGUUCCAUUAGGCAGUUGGUGAGGUAACGGCUCACCAAACCUUCGAUGGAUAGGGGUUCUGAGAGGAAGGUCCCCCACAUUGGAACUGAGACACGGUCCAAACUCCUACGGGAGGCAGCAGUGAGGAAUAUUGGUCAAUGGGCGCAGGCCUGAACCAGCCAAGUAGCGUGAAGGAUGACUGCCCUAUGGGUUGUAAACUUCUUUUAUAUGGGAAUAAAGUUUUCCACGUGUGGAAUUUUGUAUGUACCAUAUGAAUAAGGAUCGGCUAACUCCGUGCCAGCAGCCGCGGUAAUACGGAGGAUCCGAGCGUUAUCCGGAUUUAUUGGGUUUAAAGGGAGCGUAGGUGGACAGUUAAGUCAGUUGUGAAAGUUUGCGGCUCAACCGUAAAAUUGCAGUUGAUACUGGCUGUCUUGAGUACAGUAGAGGUGGGCGGAAUUCGUGGUGUAGCGGUGAAAUGCUUAGAUAUCACGAAGAACUCCGAUUGCGUAGGCAGCUCACUGGACUGCAACUGACACUGAUGCUCGAAAGUGUGGGUAUCAAACAGGAUUAGAUACCCUGGUAGUCCACACAGUAAACGAUGAAUACUCGCUGUUUGCGAUAUACAGUAAGCGGCCAAGCGAAAGCAUUAAGUAUUCCACCUGGGGAGUACGCCGGCAACGGUGAAACUCAAAGGAAUUGACGGGGGCCCGCACAAGCGGAGGAACAUGUGGUUUAAUUCGAUGAUACGCGAGGAACCUUACCCGGGCUUAAAUUGCAUUUGAAUAUAUUGGAAACAGUAUAGCCGUAAGGCAAAUGUGAAGGUGCUGCAUGGUUGUCGUCAGCUCGUGCCGUGAGGUGUCGGCUUAAGUGCCAUAACGAGCGCAACCCUUAUCUUUAGUUACUAACAGGUCAUGCUGAGGACUCUAGAGAGACUGCCGUCGUAAGAUGUGAGGAAGGUGGGGAUGACGUCAAAUCAGCACGGCCCUUACGUCCGGGGCUACACACGUGUUACAAUGGGGGGUACAGAAGGCAGCUACCUGGUGACAGGAUGCUAAUCCCAAAAGCCUCUCUCAGUUCGGAUCGAAGUCUGCAACCCGACUUCGUGAAGCUGGAUUCGCUAGUAAUCGCGCAUCAGCCAUGGCGCGGUGAAUACGUUCCCGGGCCU